rnacentral:rRNA from 1 species
GAUGAAUGCUGGCGGCGUGCCUAACACAUGCAAGUCGAGCGGCAGCGCAGUCUUCGGACUGGCGGCGAGCGGCGGACGGCUGAGUAACGCGUGGGAACGUACCCCAAAGUGAGGAAUAACUGCCCGAAAGGGUAGCUAAUGCCGCAUAUGGUCUUCGGAUUAAAGGAUUUAUCCGCUUUGGGAACGGCCUGCGUACGAUUAGAUUGUUGGUGAGGUAAUGGCUCACCAAGUCGACGAUCGUUAACUGGUCUGAGAGGAUGAUCAGUCAGACUGGGACUGAGACACGGUCCAGACUCCUACGGGAGGGAGCAGUGAGGAAUCUUCCACAAUGGGCGAAAGCCUGAUGGAGCAACGCCGCGUGCAGGAUGAAGGCCUUCGGGUCGUAAACUGCUUUUAUAAGUGAAGAAUAUGACGGGAACUUAUGAAUAAGCACCGGCUAACUUCGUGCCAGCAGCCGCAGUAA